rnacentral:rRNA from 1 species
AUUGAACGCUGGCGGCAUGCCUUACACAUGCAAGUCGAACGGCAGCACGGGAGCAAUCCUGGUGGCGAGUGGCGAACGGGUGAGUAAUAUAUCGGAACGUGCCCAGUCGUGGGGAUAACGUAGCGAAAGCUACGCUAAUACCGCAUACUAUCUAUGGAUGAAAGCGGGGGAUCGCAAGACCUCGCGCGAUUGGAGCGGCCGAUAUCAGAUUAGGUAGUUGGUGAGGUAAAGGCUCACCAAGCCGACGAUCUGUAGCUGGUCUGAGAGGACGACCAGCCACACUGGGACUGAGACACGGCCCAGACUCCUACGGGAGGCAGCAGUGGGGAAUUUUGGACAAUGGCGCAAGCCUGAUCCAGCAAUGCCGCGUGCAGGAUGAAGG